rnacentral:rRNA from 1 species
UACAGAGGUCCCAAGCGUUGUUCGGAUUUAUUGGGCGUAAAGAGCUUGUAGGUGGUUUGUCGAGUCUGCUGUGAAAAUCCGAGGCUCAACCUCGGACUUGCAGUGGGUACGGGCAGACUAGAGUGUGGUAGGGGAGAGUGGAAUUCCUGGUGUAGCGGUGGAAUGCGCAGAUAUCAGGAGGAACACCGAUGGCGAAAGCAGGUCUCUGGGCCAUUACUGACACUGAGAAGCGAAAGCAUGGGGAGCGAACAGG